CAAGCCUGAUCCAGCCAUGCCGCGUGGGUGAAGAAGGCCUUCGGGUUGUAAAGCCCUUUUGUUGGGAAAGAAAAGCAGCCGGCCAAUACCCGGUUGUUCUGACGGUACCCAAAGAAUAAGCCCCGGCUAACUUCGUGCCAGCAGCCGCGGUAAUACGUAGGGGGCUAGCGUUAUCCGGAUUUACUGGGCGUAAAGGGUGCGUAGGUGGUUUCUUAAGUCAGGAGUGAAAGGCUACGGCUCAACCGUAGUAAGCUCUUGAAACUGGGAAACUUGAGUGCAGGAGAGGAAAGUGGAAUUCCUAGUGUAGCGGUGAAAUGCGUAGAUAUUAGGAGGAACACCAGUAGCGAAGGCGGCUUUCUGGACUGUAACUGACACUGAGGCACGAAAGCGUGGGGAGCAAACA
rnacentral:rRNA from 1 species